rnacentral:rRNA from 1 species
UACGUAGGGGGCUAGCGUUGUCCGGAAUCAUUGGGCGUAAAGCGCGUGUAGGCGGUUCGGUAAGUCCGCUGUGAAAGUCGGGGGCUCAACCCUCGGAUGCCGGUGGAUACUGUCGAGCUUGAGUACGGAAGAGGCGAGUGGAAUUCCUGGUGUAGCGGUGAAAUGCGCAGAUAUCAGGAGGAACACCAAUUGCGAAGGCAGCUCGCUGGGACGUUACUGACGCUGAGGCACGAAGGCCAGGGGAGCAAACGGG